UGUAAGUUAGAGUGUGUGUAUAGGUGAGAGUAUGUAGGUGACACUGUGUGUGUUAGUGAGAGUGUGUAAGUGACACUGUGUAUGUUAGUGAGAGUAUGCAAGUGACAAUGUGUAGGUCAGUGAGAAUGUGUAUGUGUUGGUGUGUAAGUUAGAGUUAGAAUGUGUAAGUGUGUAUGCCAGUGAGAGAGAGUGUGUAUUAGUGGG